GUGAGGAAUAUUGCGCAAUGGAGGCAACUCUGACGCAGCCAUGCCGCGUGCAGGAAGAAGGCGCUACGCGUUGUAAACUGCUUUUAACCGGGAAGAAACCCCAGGACGUGUCCUGGGUUGACGGUACCGGAGGAAUAAGCACCGGCUAACUUCGUGCCAGCAGCCGCGGUAAUACGAAGGGUGCAAGCGUUAUCCGGAUUCAUUGGGUUUAAAGGGUGCGUAGGCGGAGCGUUAAGUCAGUGGUGAAAUCCUGCAGCUUAACUGUAGACUUGCCAUUGAUACUGGAGCUCUUGAGUGCGCUUGAAGUGGGCGGAAUGUGCCGUGUAGCGGUGAAAUGCUUAGAUAUGGCACAGAACACCAAUUGCGAAGGCAGCUCACUAAGGCGAUACUGACGCUGAGGCACGAAAGCGUGGGGAUCGAACAGGAUUAGAUACCCGUGUAGUCC
rnacentral:rRNA from 1 species